rnacentral:misc_RNA from 1 species
GGGACGCUCUGCAUGAUGAAGCCUCCCUUCGCCUCGUGCUGUGUUGCCAGCAUGCCGUUGCCUUGGUCCGGCACGAGGCGAUGUCCGGGGCCAUAUCCCGCGUCAUCGCCGACUGACGUCCGACGAAAGGCUUUUGCAGCGGCUCUGUGUUCCGAGAAUCGCUCUGCCGGUGUGACGACGAAGGCUUACGCGCAGUCUGACGCGAUCGGCGACGGCUCCAGAUUCCAGGAAGUGGGAACGGGUCCCUUGUAUCGGCUGGAGAUCCCCAACUGCCGCCUGGAGGACACCGGCGCCUACAGCAUCCUGGCGAGGAACGAGCAUGGAGAGUGUCGGGCGGUUAUCUCCCUGCAGGUCUACGGCAAAGGCCUAAAGGGCGAAUUGGAAGGAAUACCAGUGAAACGCGGCGUGAUGGAGCAUGUGCCGGUGGUGACGCGGCCGCUGCAGGACGUGCGGUGCUGUGAUGGCGACUCAGUCACUUUGGAGGCUCUGGUGGACGCGCCCAAGCACUCGACCGUCCGCUGGGAGAAGCAAGGAAAGGUACUGAAGCUCGACGGCGACUUGGAGAGCGAGUGGGACGGCUCGUGCGUGCGUCUCAAGAUUCGCCAAGUCUACCCCGAGGACGAGGGCGAGUACUCCUGCAUCAUCUUCAACGACAUGGGCAAGGCCGUCACCUCUGCAACAAUCGUCGUGGAGAUGGCUGACGACAAGGAGAAUGACGUGACAGUGCAGAUGGAGCACCGGCCGGACCUCUCUCGCAGGACCACGCCCUCGAGAACCAACACGCCCUCCAGGUUCUCCCGCUCGCCCUCUGUCACCUUCCGACCCAACCGCUACACGCCGGAGCCGACCGCGCGCUCCAAGAGCCGCCGUUCGCACCGUCCCAAGUUCUACUACAUUCCCCAUGACCGAAUCGUGGAGGAGGGCGAAACCGUCACAUUCCAGUGUGCCAUCAAGGGCCACCCGACCCCGCGGUCGACAUGGGACAAGGACUCCCUCAAGCUACUCGAGGGCGGCCGCUACAAGAUGGAGGAGCGAGACGACGUCCGCACUCUAGAGAUCUCCAAGGUGACGAUGCAGGACGCAGGACUCUACAGAAUCACCAUCGAUAACGACCUCGGUCGCGAGCAAGCCACUGCCAGGCUCGACGUAAUCAAGGCAUCGGGUAACAAGUACAGUGGCUACGUGAGGUCAUGGCACACGUCUCCGCUGACGGUCCCGCGCUUCAUUCGCUCGAUGCCGUCCACCAGGGUGAGCCAAGGCAGCAGGCUGUCCCUCUCCGCUGACUACAGGGGCUCGCCAACGCCUAGAGCGAAGUGGUACAGAAAUAACGAGCUGCUGCCCCUGUGCGACGACUUCCCUCAGAGCUACGACGGCAAGACCGCCACUCUGGACCUGCCGUCUGCCACCGCCGCCGACGCUGGCACCUACACGUGCGUCCUCGUCAACGACGCCGGCAGGGCCGAGUGCUCGUGUGAAGUGGUGGUGGAGCACCGCAAGGAGACCCCCAACCAGCCGCCCUAUUUCCUCCGCGGUCUGAAGGACUUCACGGCGCUUGACGGUGAUGAAGUGAGACUCUCCGUCAAACUCGCAGGAUCCCAGCCCAUUCGGGUUUUGUGGGUUCGCAACGACCAGGAAAUAAAGAAUUCCGAGGACUUCACGUACCUGGAAGAGGAGGAGGGCGAAUACGCUCUCGUCAUCCGCGACAUCUUCCCAGAGGAUGCCGGAAUCUACAUCUGCGAGGCUUACAACGCACACGGGGACACCCACACUCACUGCAGAUUAGCUGUUCAUGAUCCACGAGAAUCAGAGGCAUCGGUGCCACGGAUAGUCGGUAAUCUAAAGCCUUUGGACGUGGAGGAGGGCUCGGCUGCCAGGUUCAGCGUCACCGUUCACGGGACACCCCGGCCGACCCUCACCUGGUACUGCGACAGCCGCAAGUUGAUCUCCACACCUCGAAUCAAGAUCAACAUGGACGACGAUGUGGGUGCGGACGGUGAGGUGCAACACACCCUAAGCAUCCUCCACGCGCUGUCCACCGACUCGGGCGUUAUCUCCGUCGUCGCCUCCAACUGCCUCGGCUCCGACACCGCCUCUACCACACUCAAGGUUGAUCCCUACACACCGAGGCGCGAAGAGCGGGUACGAUCGCCCCUCGGCACGAACUCCUCGGCCAACACCACCGCCAGGUUGUCGCCGCCGCGAACCUCCAACUCCCCCGCGCCCAGGAUCAGACCCUCGCUCAAGGAGGUCACCAACACUGGCACGGGAAGCGUGGACUCGGCCUACGGCAGCGUCAGCAUCCGGGAUUCUGCCAGCAGCCCCUCUCCAACCUCAGUGAAUUGGAGGACGACCAGGGUGAACCAGCGAAGAAGCCCCUCCGCACCAUGGCCAGCUGUGAUGAAGAAAAGGAGGACGAACAGCAGUCCGACGAGAAGAAAGAGGAAGAAUCAGAAGAAGAGGAGGCGGAGGAGGAGGAGGAGGAAGACACUGAAGCCGAGAUCCUGCUUGGUCCCCUGGAUAUGACGGUCCUCAAAGGGCAGUCUGCAACCUUCACUGCAACAUUCACCGGCAAGCCUCAGCCCGUAGUGUCUUGGCUCAAGAAGGAGCAAGAGAUCUGCGACGGCGGACGGUACACGGUGAAGACGGAGAACGGCACCACGACGCUCACCAUCAAGGACAUCGUCCAAGAGGACUGCGACAAGUACACCGUCGUCGUCAGGAAUGCACUGGCCGCCCACGCCGCCUUUGCUUCCCUUGCUGUAGGAAGUGCCCCCGAGCCGCCUGCGGAUCGACCCAACCACUCGGAGGUGACGGCGACUUCCGUGACUCUGUCUUGGUACGGCCCCACCUACGACGGUGGCUCCGUGGUCACGGGGUACAACGUGGAGGCGCGCAAAGUGGGCCAGGACGAGUGGAAGACGCUCAUCACGGGAUGCCAUUCUACGUCAUACAUUGUGACGGGACUAGAGACCGGAUGCCAGUACGAAUUCCGCGUGUGUGCACAAAAUAUGCACGGCCUCUCCGAGCCUUCGAAGCCCUCGCAGCCCGUCACUACCACCAAUCAGACCAAACAGGCAG